CCCUACGGGGCGCAGCAGGCGCGAAACCUUUACAAUGCGGGCAACCGUGAUAAGGGAACCUCGAGUGCCUGUAAACGCAGGCUGUUCAGGUGUUUAAAACGCACCUGGAGAAAGGGCCGGGCAAGACCGGUGCCAGCCGCCGCGGUAAUACCGGCGGCUCGAGUGGUGGCCGCUUUUAUUGGGCUUAAAGCGUUCGUAGCUGGGUUGUUAAGUCUCUUGGGAAAUCUGGCGGCUU
rnacentral:rRNA from 1 species